rnacentral:rRNA from 1 species
AGUGAACGCUGGCGGUAGGCCUAACACAUGCAAGUCGAACGGCAGCACAGUAAGAGCUUGCUCUUACGGGUGGCGAGUGGCGGACGGGUGAGGAAUACAUCGGAAUCUACUUUUUCGUGGGGGAUAACGUAGGGAAACUUACGCUAAUACCGCAUACGACCUACGGGUGAAAGCAUGGGAUCUUCUGACCUUGCGCGAUUGAAUGAGCCGCUGUCGGAUUAGCUAGUUGGCGGGGUAAAGGCCCACCAAGGCGACGAUCCGUAGCUGGUCUGAGAGGAUGAUCAGCCACACUGGAACUGAGACACGGUCCAGACGCCUACGGGAGGCAGCAGUGGGGAAUAUUGGACAAUGGGCGCAAGCCUGAUCCAGCCAUACCGCGUGGGUGAAGAAGGCCUUCGGGUUGUAAAGCCCUUUUGUUGGGAAAGAAAAGCAGCAGGUUAAUACCCCGCUGUUCUGACGGUACCCAAAGAAUAAGCACCGGCUAACUUCGUG